UACGGAGGAUGCAAGCGUUAUCCGGAAUUAUUGGGCGUAAAGCGUCCGCAGGUGGCUAGAUAGGUCCGUUGUGAAAACUCGAGGCUCAACCUCGAGACGUCGAUGGAAACCAUCUGGCUAGAGUCCGGAAGAGGAGAGUGGAAUUCCUGGUGUAGCGGUGAAAUGCGCAGAUAUCAGGAAGAACACCAGUGGCGAAAGCGCUCUGCUAGGCCGCAACUGACACUGAGGGACGAAAGCUAGGGGAGCGAAUGGG
rnacentral:rRNA from 1 species